rnacentral:rRNA from 1 species
CCUACGGGUGGCAGCAGUGAGGAAUAUUGGUCAAUGGACGCAAGUCUGAACCAGCCACGUAGCGUGAAGGAUGACUGGCCUAUGCGUUGUAAACUUCUUUUAUAAAGGAAUAAAACGAGGCACGUGUGCCUUUUUGCAUGUCCUUUAUGAAUACGGAUCGGCGAACUCCGUGCCAGCAGCAGCGGUAAUCCGGAGGGGCCGGGCGUUAACCGGAUUUAUUGGGUUAAAAGGGAGCGUAGAGGGGUUGUUAGGUCAGUUGUGAAAGUUUGCGGCUAAACCGUAAAAUUGCAAUUGAUAAUGGUAGUCGUGAGUACAGUGGAGGUAGGCGGAAUUCGGGGUGUAGCGGGGAAAUGCUUAGAGUCAACGAAGAACCCGGAGUGUGAAGGCAGCUUACUAAACUGUGACUGAGAUUGAUGCUCGAAAGUGUGGGUAUCAAACAGGAUUAGUUACCCUGUAGUC